AAUAGAUACCCUGGUAGUCCACGCCGUAAACGGUGGGUACUAGGUGUGGGUUUCCUUCCUUUAGGGAUCCGUGCCGUAGCUAACGCAUUAAGUACCCCGCCUGGGGAGUACGGCCGCAAGGCUAAAACUCAAAGGAAUUGACGGGGGGCCCGCACAAGCGGCGGAGCAUGUGGAUUAAUUCGAUGCAACGCGAAGAACCUUACCUGGGUUCGACAUGCACAGGACGCAUCCAGAGAUGGGUGUUCCCUUGUGGCCUGUGUGCAGGUGGUGCAUGGCUGUCGUCAGCUCGUGUCGUGAGAUGUUGGGUUAAGUCCCGCAACGAGCGCAACCCUUGUCUCAUGUUGCCAGCACGUUAUGGUGGGGACUCGUGAGAGACUGCCGGGGUCAACUCGGAGGAAGGUGGGGAUGACGUCAAGUCAUCAUGCCCCUUAUGUCCAGGGCUUCACACAUGCUACAAUGGCCGGUACAAAGGGCUGCGAUCCCGUGAGGGUUAGCGAAUCUUUUAAAGCCGGUCUCAGUUCGGAUCGGGGU
rnacentral:rRNA from 1 species